CGAAACACUUCUCGUUCAUGCCCUACGCAGCGACGCUCUCCCUUUUUCGGCGUCUCUCACAGGUUCACCACCGUUGAGCAAUCCGGCACCUCCCAACUGGUCAUUCUCUCUGGCGCCUCCCCACUCAGCUGAUUCUUCGACACCGACAGCUGCUGCUCCUUCACCGGCUGAAGCUUCUGAUUCAAGACAAUGUAGACUUGGGCACAGCUUGUGGAAAAUAUUUCCGGGUAUGCUGCCUCAGCAUCAUUGACCCAGGUGAUUCGGAUAUCAUUAAGAACAUGCCCGGUGACUCUUAGGCUGUCGACGUCCUGAUGCCAUGAGAUUUGGUCUAGCAUUCGUAGAUUUAUGGGUUUGGGCAAGGAGGGUGCCUCAUGAAAAAGGCACUCUGCUAUUGACAGGGAAAAUCUUAAAUAUCAAGCUAAUGUGAGAUGCAGCUACUGUAACCCAUCUUUAGUUGUUUCAUUUGGCAUUGUUCUAAGAAUUCAUUUUUCCAAUACUAUAAAGAGUUGAACCUUGUGCUUG